CUUGCUUCUCUUGAGAGCGGCGGACGGGUGAGUAAUGCCUAGGAAUCUGCCUGGUAGUGGGGGAUAACGUUCGGAAACGGACGCUAAUACCGCAUACGUCCUACGGGAGAAAGCAGGGGACCUUCGGGCCUUGCGCUAUCAGAUGAGCCUAGGUCGGAUUAGCUAGUUGGUGGGGUAAUGGCUCACCAAGGCGACGAUCCGUAACUGGUCUGAGAGGAUGAUCAGUCACACUGGAACUGAGACACGGUCCAGACUCCUACGGGAGGCAGCAGUGGGGAAUAUUGGACAAUGGGCGAAAGCCUGAUCCAGCCAUGCCGCGUGUGUGAAGAAGGUCUUCGGAUUGUAAAGCACUUUAAGUUGGGAGGAAGGGUUGUAGAUUAAUACUCUGCAAUUUUGACGUUACCGACAGAAUAAGCACCGGCUAACUCUGUGCCAGCAGCCGCGGUAAUACAGAGGGUGCAAGCGUUAAUCGGAAUUACUGGGCGUAAAGCGCGCGUAGGUGGUUUGUUAAGUUGGAUGUGAAAUCCCCGGGCUCAACCUGGGAACUGCAUUCAAAACUGACUGACUAGAGUAUGGUAGAGGGUGGUGGAAUUUCCUGUGUAGCGGUGAAAUGCGUAGAUAUAGGAAGGAACACCAGUGGCGAAGGCGACCACCUGGACUAAUACUGACACUGAGGUGCGAAAGCGUGGGGAGCAAACAGGAUUAGAUACCCUGGUAGUCCACGCCGUAAACGAUGUCAACUAGCCGUUGGGAAGCCUUGAGCUUUUAGUGGCGCAGCUAACGCAUUAAGUUGACCGCCCUGGGGAGUACGGUCGCAAGAUAAACUCAAUGAA
rnacentral:rRNA from 1 species